rnacentral:rRNA from 1 species
CAGCAGCCGCGGGAAUACGGAGGGUGCAAGCGUUGUUCGGAAUUACUGGGCGUAAAGCGCGCGUAGGCGGUUACUCAAGUCAGAGGUGAAAGCCCGGGGCUCAACCCCGGAACUGCCUUUGAAACUAGGUGACUAGAAUCUUGGAGAGGUCAGUGGAAUUCCGAGUGUAGAGGUGAAAUUCGUAGAUAUUCGGAAGAACACCAGUGGCGAAGGCGACUGACUGGACAAGUAUUGACGCUGAGGUGCGAAAGCGUGGGGAGCAAACAGGAUUAGAUACCCGAGUAGUCCCUGUCUCUUAUAA